UACGGAAGGCAGCAGUGGGGAAUAUUGGACAAUGGGCGAAAGCCUGAUCCAGCCAUGCCGCAUGAGUGAAGAAGGCCUUCGGGUUGUAAAGCUCUUUUAGUGAGAAAGAUAAUGACGGUACUCACAGAAGAAGUCCUGGCUAACUCCGUGCCAGCAGCCGCGGUAAUACGGAGAGGGCUAGCGUUAUUCGGAAUUAUUGGGCGUAAAGAGCGCGUAGGCUGAUUAGUAAGUUAAAAGUGAAAUCCCAAAGCUUAACUUUGGAAUUGCUUUUUAAAACUGCUAGUCUAGAGAUUUGAAAGAGGAUAGAGGAAUUCCUAGUGUAGAGGUGAAAAUUCGUAAAUAUUAGGAGGAACACCAGUGGCGAAGGCGUCUAUCUGGUUCAAAUCUGACGCUGAGGCGCGAAGGGCGUGGGGAGCAAACAGGGAUUAGAUACC
rnacentral:rRNA from 1 species